GGGAUUUUGCGCAAUGGGCGAAAGCCUGACGGAGCAAGACCGCGUGAGGGAGGAAGGCUCUAGGGUUGUAAACCCCUUUUCUUUGGGAAGAAGAACUGACGGUACCAAAGGAAUCAGCCUCGGCUAACUCCGUGCCAGCAGCCGCGGUAAUACGGAGGAGGCAAGCGUUAUCCGGAAUGAUUGGGCGUAAAGCGUCCGCAGGUGGCCAUGUAAGUCUGCCCCCAAAACCCAGGCCUCCACUCUGGUCAGGCAGUGGAAACUACAAAGCUAGAGUCUGGUAGGGGCAAAGGGAAUUCCCGGAGUAGCGGUGAAAUGCGUAGACCUCGGGAAGAAC
rnacentral:rRNA from 1 species